AUUGAACGCUGGCGGCAGGCCUAACACAUGCAAGUCGGACGAGUGGCGGACGGGUGAGUAAUGUAUGGGGAACUGCCUGAUGGCGGGGGAUAACUACUGGAAACGGUAGCUAAUACCGCAUACCAUCAGAUGUACCCAUAUGGGAUUAGCUUGUUGGUAAGGUAACGGCUAACCUAGGCGACGAUCCCUAGCUGGGCUGAGAGGAUGAUCAGCACCACUGGAACUGUGACACGGCCCAGACUCCUACGUGAGGCAGCAGUGGGGAAUAUUGCACAAUGGGCGAAAGCCGGAUGCAGCCAUGCCGGGUGUAUGAAGAAGGCCUUCGGGUGGUAAAGUACUUUCAGUCGGGAGGCGUUACCGACAGAAGAAGCACCGGCUAACUCCGUGCCAGCAGCCGCGGUAAUUC
rnacentral:rRNA from 1 species